CCUACGGGAGGCAGCAGUAGGGAAUAUUGCUCAAUGGGCGAAACCCUGACGCAGCAACGCCGCGUGGAGGAUGAAGGUCUUCGGAUUGUAAACUCCUUUUGUUAGAGAAGAAAAUGACGGUAUCUAACGAAUAAGCACCGGCAAACUCCGUGCCAGCAGCCGCGGGAAUACGGAGGGUGCAAGCGUUACUCGGAAUCACUGGGCGUAAAGAGCGCGUAGGCGGGAUAGCAAGUCAGGUGUGAAAACCUCUGGCUUAACCAUAGAACUGCAUUUGAAACUGGUAUUCUAGAGUAUGGGAGAGGUAGGUGGAAUUCUUGGUGUAGGGGUGAAAUGCGUAGAGAUCAAGAGGAAUACUCAUGGCGAAGGCGGCCUGCUGGAACAUAACUGACGCUGAUGCGCGAAAGCGUGGGGAGCAAACAGGAUUAGAUACCCCAGUAGUC
rnacentral:rRNA from 1 species